rnacentral:tRNA from 1 species
AAAGGGAGACCUAAUUCAGGUAGGAGACGAAAAAAAAGUAGUCCUACCAAGAAUCAAUCCCAAAAGGUCGGAGCGAGGUAUGAGGCUUUCAAACUAGGUUCUGGGUUCAUAAAAGACCUGAAUCAGGAACAAGGGCUAUUAGCUCAGGUGGUUAGAGCGCACCCCUGAUAAGGGUGAGGUCCCUGGUUCGAGUCCAGGAUGGCCCACCUGCACAGGUGGCAAAAACAAAGAAAAGAAGCUCCGAAUCAGCACCUUAUCUUACUUAUAUAAUAAGAGAGAAUGCUGGCUCUGAGUUCAGAGUCCAGAGGAACCUUGAAAACUGCAUAGAGCUAGGUGAAAAAGCCAAAAAAGAAGACCGCAAG